GACGAACGCUGGCGGCGUGCUUAACACAUGCAAGUCGAACGGAAAGGCCCUGCUUUUGUGGGGUGCUCGAGUGGCGAACGGGUGAGUAACACGUGAGUAGCCUGCCCUUGACUUUGGGAUAACUUCAGGAAACUGGGGCUAAUACCGGAUAGGAGCUCCUGCUGCAUGGUGGGGGUUGGAAAGUUUCGGCGGUUGGGGAUGGACUCGCGGCUUAUCAGCUUGUUGGUGGGGUAGUGGCUUACCAAGGCUUUGACGGGUAGCCGGCCUGAGAGGGUGACCGGCCACAUUGGGACUGAGAUACGGCCCAGACUCCUACGGGAGGCAGCAGUGGGGAAUAUUGCACAAUGGGCGGAAGCCUGAUGCAGCAACGCCGCGUGCGGGAUGACGGCCUUCGGGUUGUAAACCGUUUUCGCCUGUGACGAAGCGUGAGUGACGGUAAUGGGUAAAGAAGCACCGGCUAACUACGUG
rnacentral:rRNA from 1 species